rnacentral:rRNA from 1 species
AUUGAACGCUGGCGGCAGGCCUAACACAUGCAAGUCGAGCGGCAGCGGGAAAGUAGCUUGCUACUUUUGCCGGCGAGCGGCGGACGGGUGAGUAAUGCCUGGGAAAUUGCCCAGUCGAGGGGGAUAACAGUUGGAAACGACCGCUAAUACCGCAUACGCCCUACGGGGGAAAGCAGGGGACCUUCGGGCCUUGCGCGAUUGGAUAUGCCCAGGUGGGAUUAGCUAGUUGGUGAGGUAAUGGCCCACCAAGGCGACGAUCCCUAGCUGGUCUGGGAGGAUGAUCAGCCACACGGGAACUGAGACACGGUCCAGACUCCUACGGGAGGCAGCAGUGGGGAAUAUUGCACAAUGGGGGAAACCCUGAUGCAGCCAUGCCGCGUGUGUGAAGAAGGCCUUCGGGUUGUAAAGCACUUUCAGCGAGGAGGAAAGGUUGAUGCCUAAUACGUAUCAACUGUGACGUUACUCGCAGAAGAAGCACCGGCUAACUCCGUGCCAGCCGCCGCGGUAAGAC